rnacentral:rRNA from 1 species
CCUUUUGGAAAAAAAUAAAUUGCCUGGANAUGANCUCNCGUCUGAUUAGCUAGUUGGNGNGGUAAAAGCUUACCAAGGCGACGAUCAGUAGCUGGUCUGANAGGAUGAGCANCCNCNCUGGGACUGANACACGGCCCAAACUCCUACGGGAGGCAGCAGUGGGGAAUUUUCCGCAAUGGGCGAAAGCCUGACGGAGCAANACCGCGUGGGGGAGGAAGGCUUUAGGGUUGUAAACCCCUUUUCUUUGGGAAGAAGAAAGUGACGGUACCAAAGGAAUCAGCCUCGGCUAACUCCGUGCCAGCAGCCGCGGUAAUACGGAGGAGGCAAGCGUUAUCCGGAAUGAUUGGGCGUAAAGCGUCCGCAGGUGGCCAUGUAAGUCUGCUGUCAAAACCCAGGGCUCAACUCUGGUCAGGCAGUGGAAACUACAAAGCUAGAGUCUGGUAGGGGCAAAGGGAAUUCCCGGNGUAGCGGUGAAAUGCGUAGAUUUCGGGAAGAACAUCGGUGGCGAAAGCGCUUUGCUAGACCAGAACUGACAGCUUCAGGGACGAAAGCUAG